GACGAACGCUGGCGGCGUGCUUAACACAUGCAAGUCGAACGGAAAGGCCCUGCUUUUGUGGGGUGCUCGAGUGGCGAAAGGGUGAGUAACACGUGAGUAACCUGCCCUUGACUUUGGGAUAACUUCAGGAAACUGGGGCCAAUACCGGAUAGGAGCUCCUGCUGCAAGGUGGGCGUUGGAAAGUUUCGGCGGUUGGGGAUGGACUCGCCGCUUAUCAGCUUGUUGGUGGGGUAGUGGCUUACCAAGGCUUUGACGGGUAGCCGGCCUGGUAGGGUCACCGGCCACAUUAGGACUGAGAUACGGCCCAGCCUCGUACGGGAGGCGGCAGUGGGGAAUAUUGCACAGUGGGCGGAAGCCUGAUGCAGCAACGCCGCGUGCGGGAUAACGGCCUUCGGGUAGUAAACCGCUUUCGCCCGUGACGAAGCGUGAGUGACGGUAAUGGGUGAAGAAGCACCGGCUAACUACGUG
rnacentral:rRNA from 1 species